rnacentral:tRNA from 1 species
CUCCCCAUAGUGUAGUGGUUUAGCACGCCUGACUGUAAUAUCCAAAGCGUUCAGGAGACCCUCGUUCGAUCCGCGGUGGGGAGA